GCACAGAACAAGUGGAAUGAACAUUGACAGUAGUUCAAAUUUAUAAUAUAUUACAAAGCAUCUUGCCAUGCUGUUUUGACAAAAGAUGAAAAAGGCUGAAAGUUCCAGAAGAAGCCCAAGAAAUUUUAAAUUAUAAGUAUCUUUACGUUCAUUUAAUUUGUAUACAUAGUAUUGAAUGAAACUUUUGUCCGCCGGUCGUGUGCACCAAAACCUAGAUGGUAUUAAAUAUAUUGCUGGUUCAUGGUCUGCACUGAACAUGUCCGGCGCACAUCACUUUAUAUUUUCCACACUGGUUCAUUAUUAUGUGUCGUAGUCUUAUAUUGAAGUGAACCUAUUUCUGGGGAAUGUUGAUAUAUGUUUCUGGACCUGGUUGUAGGCUUGCAGGCUAAAUUACAUAUGCUCGAUAAUACAGGGACAGGGGGAGCGGGGGGGGGGGGCAUGGUCCCCCCACUUUUUCGGUGGAUAAUAAAAAAAUACCAGAAAAAUCCAGCCUGCCUGUGUCGAAUAGCUCCCGUGCUAUCUGCCCCCACUUCAAAACAGGCUCCGCGGUCCCUGUAAUAUGGCCAUUUGUAUGAGCCUAUAAAAACAAAGGUGUAACAUACCCCCCCCCCGGCAUUUGACUUUUUGGAUUUUGCAAUGAUCAAAUCCCCCACCCUGGCGCCCCAAUUAAAAAAAUAGGUACUCUUGUUUGAAUUAUUGACUAUAAAUGUAUCAUAUUAACAGUACAUUAUCAUCCCAUAUAUAAUUAAUAGACAAUCGAUAUUAAUUUAAAAACAUGCAUGGUGAAUCACAGAAAAGCUUUCUCAUGCAACUUCGACUUUGGGCAAUCUUCUAGGAUAUAACAAAAAGUUUUUAUCGGACAAUUUUGACUUAUCAACAGUCAGUCAAACAAACAGUUUCUGAUAGAAACACCUUCAGUUGUCACCCUGUAGAAAGCUGCCAUAUUUGUUUUGCUGCCUGUUGGCAGGCAUACAGCCCUGAUUAGUCGACCUGAGUGUUUAACACACACACACAACUCGAUAGCAUAGUAUCUAGCGCUCCCCGCAGGUACAAAAAUGCAGCUUAAAUGCCCUACAUUCCACAACUAAGUGGUGGUUGAAUGCCCCAUUGUAAAUUUAAUUUGAAGGUCAAAUUCUUCAACUUUCAACUUCCCCAGUCCAUUCUGGUCCAACCAAUCUUUGAACAUAUAAAUUCACAUUUUGACUUUGAAAAUCUUUUAAUAAAAAUUUCACAAGUCUAUCUAUAAUACUGUAUACGUAGUCUUCAUGUUAGACAAACUAAAAAUUUUAGUUGUGGUCAAAUCCCUGUCUUCGAUCAUUAUAAGUGGAAUCAAAUGCCCCACCACUUUAAGUUUUCUUGACAACAAAUGCCCACCCCUGGGGAAAAUUACAAAUGGCAAAUGCUCCUCUCGUGCCCUGGGGAUGUUACAUCUAACAUCUUCAUUUUGGUUGGUGCAUUAUUGCCUGAAGGUACUGUAGUGCUCGUUAAUAAAACAAUGUACUAGAAAAUACAUGCAUGCAAAAACCACUGAGCUGUAUAAUAACUGGAGGACCUGCUCCUAUGUAUUGCCAAAAACAUGGUGGAUUUGAUGUGAUCUUAGAAAUGCCCUCUGAACCCGAUGCCAAAGUGCAUGCAACCUUUUCCUCCUAUAAAAAUCACAAUACUAAAAAUCACAACAUGCAAAGCGGCUUAUUGGUAUUUCCCCUCGAGGAGACGUUGUAUUUGUAUCCGAGCUUUAUGCUGGCAACAGAUCAGAUCAACAAAUUACAAGAGAUUUUGGCAUCCUAAACUUGCUUGAGCCCAAGGAUGAAAUUAUGGCUGACAGAGGGGUUGCCAUUGAAGGAGAGUUGCCAAGCGGGAUCUCACUAAAAAUACCACCCUUUUCGCACAAUCAACCCCAGCUUUCGGAACAGCCGAUGAAGUUACAACCAGGCGAAUUGCAAAGCAUCCCAUAGAGAGAACAAUACAAAGGAUUAAAAGCUAUUGCAUUCUACAUCAGACCUUAAUUUUAGCAUGGCUGUAGAUCUAAAUAGAAUUUUGAUCAUAUGUUCUUAUCUGACCCUAUUUAAUAAACCGCUAAACUUACUUAUGUUAUUGAAGUAGUCAGUGCGGAUGACAUUUAUUUUGUUAAACAAAUUUGAAUGUUUAUAACUUAGAUAUAUAUUCAGUUCAUAUGUGUGUACACUCUAUAAUGGGUCAUUCCAGAAAAAUCCACAUCCACUAGACCACUACAGUGAAAAAGAGGCAACUACAUAUUUUCAAUUCCCUUCAAGGGGAAAAUGUGGCAUUUCUAGAACAACCAAAUGUUAAAGAGUAUAAUGUUUAUGAAUGUGUGUAAAAAUUGUUUGCAAAAUUAAUUGCAUGUUUACACAAGCUCCAUUAUGUAAUCGAAAUGAAAGGAAGUUAGUUUGGUAACAUCUUUGAUUCCCAAUUCUGUAAUGUGUAAAAACAACAAACUUAAUUAAGUCAAUUCCCAAACAAUGAAGCAGUCUCGCACUGCUGUUGUUUCCAGAUUACAUUUUGUGACUUCAAAUGGGAUAUUUGUCUUACAGUAAUUUUGUGUUUCUUCUUUUUACAGUUGACCAGUAUUUGUGCAUAUCAUCAAUUGAUUUUAAGAGACAAUGCCUUUUUGUAAGUAUGCAAGAAACACUGGAUUCUGAUUGGAUAAUUAUCGCUCGCGCAUGCCCAGUACAUGAUGUCUGUUCAGGAUGCUUUGAUCUUGCCAUUCUUGAUUCUGCAUGAAACUCCAUUCGUUUCUGCAUGGAAUUCUUUAUAAACAGCCCUAGUUUUCCUUUUUCAUUCAAAAACUGAACGGAGAAAUACGGCCAGCCAACGUACUAAUAUUUUGUAAUACGCCCUCAGAUGUUUAUUUAAUAAUUAAGAAUAGGCGUUUUAUGGGCCUUGCCUAUAUUAAUGUCGCACUACCUGACAAUCAAAUUGGCUCUCCACCAAUGGGAAUUUUACGUUGUUUAGACAACGCCGUGUUCAUAUUUGUCUCUAAUCAGCUGUAUAAAAGGCGUUAAGGCCACGCGAGUUGACGCAUAAUGAUAAUAGUCGUGAUCGGUAUUAAUUGGAUAACCGGUUUAAAUGAUAAUGAGAGUUGAUAUGAUUUGCCGUCAAACAUUGUUCAGGGGAUAUUUCAAGCAUGUAUAUUAACAAAAAAAGUCAAGUCAAUAGCUUCACUUACAUGUCGAGUCAAUGGCUUGAUGACUUGAGUUAAGGAAACAGUUGAAUUUGAGUUGACUCAGUCAAGGAAUUUGAUAAAUUUCGCACCACAUAUUCUCUAAUGGAUCAGUACGCUGACUGGCAAUCUGUGAAAUUACUGAUCAAUCAGAUCCACCUUAAUAAAAUUUAAAUAAAUAUUGAAUUUCAGUCAUUUAAUAAUCUCAUUAUCCAUUACAUGUAAAAUUAUCCAGGGCUUUAUUUAUAAAUUACUUGUUUUUUUAAACCAUUUGGAUUAGUAUUAUAUUAUGUUUGUGAUGUUACUCUGAGUGUGUAUCCACACGGGGCAAGCUUGAAAAAUAUGCCUGGCCACGGUGGGAAUCGAAUACAAAUUAUAUACAAUGUUGUGUAAUUUCUUAUAACAUUAUAUCCCAAACUUUAGCGUUGUAAAUGUUUCUUUAACACCAGUUUAAUUCUGUUUCCUUCACUGUUAUUUUCCAUAUCAUACCCAACACUUCGCACGGUUAUAAACCUGCCAUGUAAUUUCCUCAUAAUCUAUUGCGCAUUUUGCAUGUCAUCAGGCUUCUACAAAUUCAUUAUUUGCCAAUGAUGUUAAAUUCAACUCUUCUAAAGGUUUUGCGCACAGAAUAUACGAAGAUGUGGUAACUUUAUGAAUUAAAUUCCAUGUUUGUCCGCCAAGACAAAAACUGCUAGGCGCUCCCCAGGACGCACCCUUCCCAACAGCCCAUGCAGCCCCUUCAUGCGUCGCCUGCCUGCCUGCCUGAACACUUCAUGUAUCCUAAAUGGUGUAUAUCCCUCAUAUAUUUAAAGCGCCUGGGUACGAGGCAGACUCUUGCAUGUGCCUGAUUUUUAAAUUGUACACAAGACCAUGCAUUUUAAUUUUAACAGGUGCAUUUCAACUUAAAAAACAAGGUACAAAAUUAGCCAUUAAAGACACUAAUAAAGCCUAUUUGUUUUUAGGGCGUUGUCGAGCUAUGCAUUCUUCCACUUCAAAGCAACCUAAAUAAACUGAAAUUGAACUGCAAACAACUUC